AUGGAAUGCUUAAAUAGGAAGAUUCCUUGACAGUUGGUCAGAGCAGAUGAGGAGACAGCUUGCAGCAGGAAGGUGUUCUUGGUGUAGGGUUGCCAAAUAUACUGUAGCUAUAGGAUCGUCUCACACAUAUGAAAAUAUUCCAUAUUUCAGUUGUCUUCUUCCAAUUCCAAAUGUCGAGAUGCAAAAUGCUUCCAUCUAUGAGCCUGGUUAGGCACCACCUUUGACAACUAUCAGCACACAAUCUUCCCUUUUCAGUCACAAUAUGUUCCUUCUACUCCAGUCUAAAAUCUGGCAGCCCUGUCUCAGUUGGGGUUGUCCCUUUAAAUAUUUCCUGCCUAGAGGAGAUGGUUCAGAUAUGACCUGGCACCCGGCAGUAUUUUGGGUGCUAACACACCUCUUCCAGUUUAGUCUUUACCCCCAGGCCCCAGAAAUUGGGCAAAAUAUGGCUUGACUUUCGAGAAAAUUUUAUUUAAGUAACCAAGAAAAAGGAGUUGUUCCACCAGCAAUGCAAGAGGCAAAAAUAUCACUUGUAAAAAAAUGUUGCAUAAUUUUGAGACUAAUGGACAGGUGUAUUUCUCUAUUUCUUCUCCACUCAUCUCACUCUCAAUAGGCAAUUUUACGAGAUAGAUUUUCCCCCCACUAAUAAUAGAACUCUCUUGCACUGGAGUCCUUCUCUGAUGCCUCACUUUGUCGUAGAGUCGACCCUAGAUUCUGAAAGGAUAUAAUAUUAAGUUUUGGCAGGCCCUAUCACCUGGAAAGGGUUUGAGAAAAGGACUAGCAACUGACUUAUUCUAUGUCAUUUGUCUAAUGAUCAAUCUAAGUUUGAAGAGUUUCAUCCCCAGAAUGGCCACUGGGUGAUAAAUUAUAAAAGAGUUGUAAUCUGAAUUGGUGGCAAGGGUUAUCCAUACCAAUGAUAACAUGACCUCUUGAGCUGAAGGAGGAUUUUGGAAUGCCCCAACGUUUCUAAGAAUUAUUCUAGAUCUGGGCCUCUAGGAAUGGAAACACGAUCCCAGUCACCUUAACUAUUUAGAGGUUAUUGCUAUAUUUGGGUUAUAUACUCGUAUAUAAAAGACACAAGGAUACAUGUACCAAUUACCUUUGUGGGCAACCCAUUUUCUGAGUCCAUUCUGCUCUAAAAAACAAAGAAUCCAGGAAAAGCAGCCCUGCCUAGAACUGAAAACUAGGUUCUGUUUGACUACAGUGACCAGCAAUAGCAUUGUUUUUAUAUCUGGGAAGGCAAAGGAAUUUAAAACCUGUGUACCAAUCUAGGGUGAGCAGACUUCAGGCUUCUUUUGCCUCUAAUCAUAAGUAGGCUACAUAACCAUAAACAAAUAGUAUAAUUCUUUUGAGAUCAGAUUCCCAAACUCAUGGAUUCAUUGGUUACUCUUGCUGUUUCUAUCAAUCUCCCUUCCACUCCCAUCCCUAGGAAGGAAAGGGUCCAGUCUGUCCAUGUGGUAUCACUAUAAGGGAUUGUCAUCAUUGUAUCAAAUAGGAUGAAGCAUAUAGUAUCCCCACCAUCCUAUCUCCUGAUGGAGCUUCCCCAAAGAUAGUUUCCAUGAACAUGAAGAAGAUAAACUUAGAUCUCAAUCCUUACCUUCACUUACAAAAAUCUUUUUUAACCACCAACACAAAAAGGUACCUUGGAAAGAAAAAUAAAGAGGGAGAAAAAAAGAGAGAAACCUAGUUCCUCUCAAUUUCCAUAUCUCAGAACUCUUAAAUUUGCCAUAGAAAUUAAAAUGUUCCCCAUGACAAGAUAGGAAAGUGAUCAUUGAUGAAUUCCAGGUAAAGGGGAAUAAAUCAAAAUGGAAGGUGAGGGGCACAAAGUGUUGACUUUGGAAAGCAAGAUACUGGUGGAAUUUACUAAAUGUUUCAUUUCUUCACCCAGUGCCAAGUACUUAGACACUAAUGACCCCUGGAAACUGAUUCACUCUCCAUCUUUCAAAAAGAAAAAAAAAGUCAUAGUGAAUGUUCAGACUUUCUUUCACAAGCAUCUGUAUAGAAGAGAUGGUGCCAAAUCAAGGCAAUCACUCUAGAUGAAGGAUUCUCUGAGUAGGAAAGAGACUAUGCUAGGAUGGAUCUUCCACCUUGCUGGAUUAUACUCAUACCUAGUGAAAAAAACUUGAUUUAUUCCUUUUCUGUGGCUAAAACGUCCUGUAUGAAAGAAAAUUCCAUGAGAUAAGCAAAGUUUCAGCAAUAUUGUGACUUUUGAUUUGGAGAAACUGAAACAAUAUAUUCACAAUUGGUGGAGAAGAUUCUGAGUUCCAUCUUUGCUUGUAAUGCUUUUCAGCUCGGAAGUCAAUAAUAAAAUUCAUGGCCUCAAAAGUCUAUUCCAAGUCACAAAGUAUUGAUAAUAAGCAAGAUGAACUUGAUAUCCCAACACCAAGAAGCAAAUUUGACUCUAUCAGUAUCCUUGAGGAUUUGAUGGCUGUGUCUGAAGAGUGAUUUGGGAAGGAUAUUUAUUGCAAAGGAAGAAGACAGGAUGAUGACCUUUGGAAUAAAAUAGACAAAAUUAACAUCACUAAUAAGGAAUUGAUACCUAAGAUAAGCAAGAAUACAAUAAUAGAGAUCCUGCCUGCCAUGAUGAAUCAAAUCUCUGAGCUCAAGUAGAGUUAUAUCCUCAGGUACCAAAGAACUUGAAGAUGGGAUGGCUGUACCAUUUUCAAUGAUCUUUAAGAGAUGAUAAAGGAUGGAUCAUGGUGAACAGAAGAAGUAACACAGGACUAAAAAGGAACAAGAGUACCAAUGUUUUAAGAGAGGAGGUCUCUGGUGCGAAUGGGAGUCUGCAAACCAAUAGACCUUUGAGCUUGAAUUUAACUUCUAUAAAAAAUUCAAGACUGUAUUAGAAAAGAGAUGGCUAAAGAGCAUCUAAAAAAUAAAGGGGAUCCAAAGUGCAUACCAUACCAAUUUUCUCAUCUUACUCCUCCGACACCUACUGCUUUUUCCAUUCCUCAUUUUCACUUCUAUUUAGAAAAUGAGUAUGUGAUAAAGAUAACUAACAUUUCUAGAGGAGUACAUUAAGAUAUAUAAAGCAUGGGUGGAAUGAACUUUAAAGGGGGAAGACUGAAUGAUAAUUGCAGAUUAAGAGUUUCAAAGUGAUACUGAAGAGCAAAGUGUCUACCAACUCUUCCUCCUAUCCCUGGAUUUCAAGACUGAAAAGAGUAGAAGCCUUUGGAAGGGGUUCUAAAAACAUGUUUCUAAGAGGGAGGAAUUUGAAAGAAAGAGAUGAAAGGAAUUGAUUAAGAAUAGAAGAAGAAAGAGCAGUUUGGUAUCUCAGUGGAUUGAGAGUCAGGCCCAGAGAUGGGAGAUCCUGGGUUCAAAUCUGACCUCAGACACUUCCUAGCUGUGUGAACCUGGGCAAGUCACUUAACCCCCAUUGCCUAGCCUUUAAUACUCUGAUGCCUUAGAACCAAUACCCAGUAUUGAUUC